CGGGCUGUGGCGCAGCUUGGCAGCGCGUCUGACUGGGGGUCAGAAGGUCGUGGGUUCAAAUCCCGCCAGCCCGACCA
rnacentral:tRNA from 1 species